GCCCCCGUAGCUCAGGUGGAUAGAGCACCGGUUUCCUAAACCGGGAGUCGCACGUUCGAGUCGUGCCGGGGGCACCC
rnacentral:tRNA from 1 species